rnacentral:rRNA from 1 species
CCUACGGGGGGCUUCAGUGAGGAAUAUUGGUCAAUGGACGAGAGUCUGAACCAGCCAAGUAGCGUGAAGGAUGACUGCCCUAUGGGUUGUAAACUUCUUUUAUAUGGGAAUAAAAUGUUCCACGUGUGGGAUUUUGUAUGUACCAUAUGAAUAAGGGUCGGCUAACUCCGUGCCAGCAGCCGCGGUAAUACGGAGGAUCCGAGCGUUAUCCGGAUUUAUUGGGUUUAAAGGGAGCGUAGGUGGAUUGGUAAGUCAGUUGUGAAAGUUUGCGGCUAAACCGUAAAAUUGCAGUUGAAACUGGCAGUCUUGAGUACAGUAGAGGUGGGCGGAAUUCGUGGUGUAGCGGUGAAAUGCUGAGAUAUCACGAAGAACUCCGAUUGCGAAGGCAGUUCACUGGACUGCAACUGACACUGAGGCUCGAAAGUGUGGGUAUCAAACAGGAUUAGAUACCCUUGUAGUC